AGCAGCCGCGGUAAUUCCAGCUCCAAUAGCGUAUAUUAAAGUUGUUGCAGUUAAAAAGCUCGUAGUUGAAUUUCGGGAUCAAGGAAUCGGUCAUGCCUCGGUAUGUACUGGUUUUAUUGGUUCUCACCUUCUAAAGAACCAUAAUGUCAUUCAUUUGAUGUUAUGGGGAAUUAGGACUGUUACCUUAGAAAAAAUUAGAGUGUUUAAAGCAGGCUUACGCUUGAAUACAUUAGCAUGGAAUAAUGAAAUAGGACAUCAGAUUCUAUUUUGUUGGUUUCUAGGAUCGAUGUAAUGAUUAAUAGGGAUAGUUGGGGGCAUUAGUAUUCAAUUGUCAGAGGUGAAAUUCUUGGAUUUAUUGAAGACUAACUACUGCGAAAGCAUUUGCCAAGGAUGUUUUCAUUAAUCAAGAACGAAAGUUAGGGGAUCGAAGACGAUCAGAUACCGUCGUAG
rnacentral:rRNA from 1 species